CAGCAGCCGCGGGAAUACAGAGGGUGCGAGCGUUAAUCGGAUUUACUGGGCGUAAAGCGUGCGUAGGCGGCUUCUUAAGUCGGAUGUGAAAUCCCUGAGCUUAACUUAGGAAUUGCAUUCGAUACUGGGAAGCUAGAGUAUGGGAGAGGAUGGUAGAAUUCCAGGUGUAGCGGUGAAAUGCGUAGAGAUCUGGAGGAAUACCGAUGGCGAAGGCAGCCAUCUGGCCUAAUACUGACGCUGAGGUACGAAAGCAUGGGAAGCAAACAGGAUUAGAUACCCCUGUAGUCCCUGUCUCUUAUAA
rnacentral:rRNA from 1 species